rnacentral:lncRNA from 1 species
UUAUGUUGCCACUCUAGCAAUCAUUGUUCUUUACAUUUCUUUCACUUUUGCUAACUCUAGCAAUCACGUUCUUUACAUUUCUUUCACCUUAGGCUAUCUUUAGCUCUCACAUUCUUUAACUUUACGCGUUCUUUAUGCCCCACUUUACAUUAGCUUUAUUCAUUAAUAUCAUUCUUUACCUCGCAUUAGUUCUUUGCUUCACACUAACUCUAGUGUCACUUUACUUCACAUUCUCAAAUGCCACUCGAUCUAUGUCAUUGUACCACUCGGUUCUUUU